GAAGAAAAUGUUACAUUUUCUUUAACUCGGGUCUGCCUGAAAUCUGUUAAUUUUGGACUCUUUAAAAUCUCUUUAAUUUGGAGACACCAACAAUCACACACACUGUGCUGCCAAAUACAGAGAAAGGGAACUGAAGGCAAAGACUAUUUAAUAGAUGCGUACAGAGACAGCAUGAUGGAUUUAAAUGAAUGGGAGGAGGUGGCUGAAGGAAGAAGCCUUGAUGACUGGAGCAUCUUGUUUAUAUCACCUCUGAGAGUCAAUUACAUGCGUAUCGCACAGCACAAAGCCCAGUUGUCUAGACAAUCGUCUAAUUGCCUUUCCUUGGCAGAUGCAGUUCUUGUCUCGGACCCCAGAAGACAGGUUUCUGCCUGUAGAAUCCUCACAAUUCCAUUUGCCAAGGACUUGAUUUUUUUGAGUUUCCGCAACUGCUAUUGAUUGACUCCAUUUGGAAUCAGGGAAUGCUCAGUAGCUCUGCACAUACAAAAUGAAAUCACAGUUCAGAAAGAUAAGUACAUCAUGAAAGAUCUCUAAUGAACUGUGCUGCUAAUUACAUGCAUAAAGGUCAGGGUAUUUUCAGCAUUCCUCCAGAUUCAGAGACUAAAACAGUUGAGUGAAAAAAAUCCAUUUUAAUAGCAAACCUUAUUGAGUAAGUGUUUGUCUGAGAAGUACUAGAACUAAUACCUAUGGUGUUUAGGGUUUCCUGAGGAAGGCAGCAGAUGAAGAACAGGUCUCUUGAAAUUCUGGGCCCAUACCUCAGUUGGUAUUAUCUGGAGUAGGUCUUUUGAAACCAAUGGAGUGAUGCCAAUUUACACAAGUGAGUACUGUAUCUGGUGUUCUAUUUCCAGGCAUGCUAAAGGUGUUAGUGUGCAAAUGACUACAAAAAUUAUUGCCUGAAGGUUUUAUGCUCAAAGACAGAUCAGGUAUCUGGUCCAGAGAGGGUACAUCCCUGGCUGUU